GUUUAGUAGGUGAGUGGGUGGGCGCGGGCGUGAGAGUGUGUGUGUGUGCGUGGGCUGACAGUCCGUGCGUGUGUGUGGGCGUGAGAGUCCGUGCGUGAGCGUGGGCGUGAGAGUGCGCGUGCGUUGGCGUGAGAGUGCAUGUGGAUGUGCGUGGGAGAGUGCGUGGGCGUGGGCGUGAGAGAGCGUGUGCGUGCGUGGGCGUAGGCGUGCGAGUGUGUGUGUGCGUGGGCGUGAGUGCGUGUGCGUGCGUGGGCGUGGGCGUCCGAGACUGUGUGUGCGUGGGCGUGAGUGCGUAUGUGUGUGCAUGGGCGUGAGAGUGCGUGUGCGUGAGAGUGCGUGGGCGUGAGAAUGCGUGUGCGUGAGAGUGCGUGGGCGUGCGGGUGUUUGUGCAUGGGCGUGAGUGCGUGUGCGUGCGUGGGCGUGAGUGCAUGUGCGUGAGUGCGUCGACGUGCGAGUACGUGUGUGCAUGGGCGUGAGUGCGAGAGCGUGCGUGGGCGUGAGUGCGUCUGCGUGGGCGUGAUUGCGUGUGCGUGCGUGGGCAUGAGAGUGUGUGUGCGUGCGUGGGCGUGAGUGGGUGUGCUAGGGCGUGGGCACUAGUGCGUGUGCAUACGUGGGCAUGAGAGUGCGUAUGCGUGGGUGUGAGUGCGUGUGCGUGCGUGGGUGUGAGAGAGCGUGUGCGUGAGACGUGAGCGUGCGAGUGUGUGUGUGCGUGGACGUGAAUGCGUGCGUGGGCGUGGGCGUGCGAGUGUGUGCGUGGACGUGAGAGUGCGUGUGCGUGGGCCUGAGUGCGUGUGCGUGUGCGUGAGUGCGUGUGUGUGAGUGAGUGGGCGUGUGCGUAAAUGUGCGUGUGUUUGCAUGAGUGCGUGUGCGUGGGCGUGAGUGCAUGUUCGUAGGAGUGAGUGAGUGCGUGGGCGUGAGAGCGCGUGUGCGUGCAGAAUCCCACGCAAGCUUUAAUUCCUGAUUAGAUGAAGGUGAUAAGGUGUUUUAAUAGUAGUAUUCACUUAAAAAUCAGAUGAAAAAUGGCCAUAGACAAACAUUUAAGAAGUUGUGUAUAAGAGAAUUCAGUUCUGUUACUUAGAGAUUCUGAAUCUAUUGUGUCCAAUAAUUUACUUGAAAAGCAGUGCAUUAAGAACAUAAAAUACUUAGCCUUAACUAAAUAUAAUAAAACACUUUAAAAACACCUGAAAACACGUGAAGCAGGUAUAAAACAUGUGAAAUAAUCUUAAAACAACGGGAUCAAUAAGUCUAGCAUAGGUUUCAGCCGAGAAUUAAAUAUAAAACACUCAAAACACAUUAAAACACAUGGAUUAAAUACUGGAAGCCCUCAUAUUUAACUAAACAUACCAAAACACCGAGAAAAACGAGAAAUGAGCUAAAAAACAACAGGAUCAAGAAUUCUUUCAUUGGUUUUAUCCGAAGAUUCAGUCAUCUAUUGCGUCGCUUUGUUAAGGGACGACUCAAAGGAGGCGAGGAGGAAGUACAGCAAGGUGGUGUGGGGAUUUGUCACCUCUGGACCAAAUGAGGCUCUUGUCAUAUCGAGUAUGUAUGGUGUGAAGUGAGCGGCUUCCACUUCGCCAUCCCGUGAACGGCCCGCAGGAAUCUCUGCCAACACCUGCUUCAGCACUGCUGGCAUCUGGUCGUCAAAUAGCGGUGCCACGCCGGGCCUGACGUGCUCCGUUGCAAUCGGGGAGUCGAGUUUCACAAGGAAGACUGGCCGAGCAUCGCCGCCUUCAAGCCCCACAAGAGGUGUUCAGUAUCGUUGGUACAGAGCAGAGGGCCUGGUACAAGAGUUUUCAUUGCAGUCAAGGAAGUCAAGAAUUUUAAGCAGGAGUUUAGACUCAAACAGUUAACAGCAGGAAGAACGCCUGAAAUUCCCUUCAAGUUGCGGGGGGACAACGGGCAACCUUCAACACUUGCGGAGGCACAAGAGUUGUGGGCAGUUUCGCCAGGAAGAGUUUGUUCCGCACUCAAGUUGACACAAGGACUCAAGAAUGAGCAAGAGUUCUCUAGUCUGGGAAGAAUGUAGCAAGUCCCUCUUCUGUACUCAACAACCACCACCACCACCACCAUUCAGGCUUGGGGUAAGCUUUGUACAUUCCAUUACUCCAGUAAUAAGGAAAAGAAGUGCCAUGUUUAUCCUGUUGUGUGUUUAUUAACUUGUCAUACACUAAAACAAUAAAAAUUCAAUAUACCGUC